rnacentral:piRNA from 1 species
UCUCACUUACAUUUGCAUGGAGGGUU